UUGUAACUUAAGCUACAUGUAGCCAAAGUGGAUUUGAGGAUGGGAAGGAGAGAGGAAAAACGGUUUUCUGAUGUUGGGAUGACAGCUCAAGAAAACUCAUUCUGGAUAAUUAAUUAUGAGAGUUCUCUUUGAAAGACUCUGUGCCAGUCACCUAUCUGCUGUUGUGUCAAAAUACUCGAGGACAUUUGUCCCAGGCUACAGCUCCCUGGUCUCACAGGGCUCCAAGAUUGCUUUGGAGAAACUUCAUUCACAG